GCCCUGGUAGUUCAGUGGAUAGAACAAGGUCCUCCUAAGACUUAGACGGCAGUUCAACUCUGCCCCGGGGUA
rnacentral:tRNA from 2 species